rnacentral:rRNA from 1 species
UACGGAGGGUGCGAGCGUUGUCCGGAAUCACUGGGCGUAAAGGGCGCGUAGGCGGCCUGAUAAGUAGGGGGUGAAAUCUUGCGGCUCAACCGCAAGGCUGCCUUCUAAACUGUCAGGCUGGAGCACGGUAGAGGCAGAUGGAAUUCCCGGUGUAGCGGUGGAAUGCGUAGAGAUCGGGAAGAACACCAGUGGCGAAGGCGGUCUGCUGGGCCGUUGCUGACGCUGAGGCGCGACAGCGUGGGGAGCAAACAGG